rnacentral:tRNA from 1 species
GCCCGGCUGGCUCAGUUGGUCAGCAUGUGACUCUCGAUCUUAGGGUCGUGUGUUCGAACCCCAUGUUGGGUG